rnacentral:sRNA from 1 species
UCCAAAGUUGAUUACGGCAUUCGUGUGGU